UUGAACGCUGGCGGCAUGCUUUACCCCUGCAAGUCGAACGGUAACAGGCCGCAAGGUGCUGACGAGUGGCGAACGGGUGAGUAAUGCAUCGGAACGUGCCCAGUCGUGGGGGAUAACUACUCGAAAGAGUAGCUAAUACCGCAUACGAUCUAUGGAUGAAAGCGGGGGACCGUAAGGCCUCGCGCGAUUGGAGCGGCCGAUGUCAGAUUAGGUAGUUGGUGGGGUAAAGGCUCACCAAGCCAACGAUCUGUAGCUGGUCUGAGAGGACGACCAGCCACACUGGGGCUGAGACACGGCCCAGACUCCUACGGGAGGCAGCAGUGGGGAAUUUUGGACAAUGGGCGCAAGCCUGAUCCAGCAAUGCCGCGUGCAGGAAGAAGGCCUUCGGGUUGUAAACUGCUUUUGUACGGAACGAAACGGCUCUGGUUAAUACCCGGGGCUAAUGACGGUACCGUAAGAAUAAGCACCGGCUAACUACGUG
rnacentral:rRNA from 1 species